rnacentral:tRNA from 2 species
AUAUAUAUAGUAUAAAUAAUAUAUUUAAUUUCCAAUUAAAAGAUUUUCUAAAAAUAUAUAUA